GAUGAACGCUGGCGGCGUGCCUAAUACAUGCAAGUCGAGCGAACAGACGAGGAGCUUGCUCCUCUGACGUUAUCGGCGGACGGGUGAGUAACACGUGGAUAAACUACCUAUAAGACUGGGAUAACUUCGGGAAACCGGAGCUAAUACCGGAUAAUAUAUUGAACCGCAUGGUUCAAUAGUGAAAGACGGUUUUGCUGUCACUUAUAGAUGGAUCCGCGCCGCAUUAGCUAGUUGGUAAGGUAACGGCUUAACAAGGCAACGAUGCGUAGCCGACCUGAGAGGGUGAUCGGCCACACUGGAACUGAGACACGGUCCAGACUCCUACGGGAGGAAGCAGUAGGGAAUCUUCCGCAAUGGGCGAAAGCUUGACGGAGCAAAGCCGCGUGAGUGAUGAAGGUCUUAGGAUCGUAAAACUCUGUUAUUCGGGAAGAACAAAUGUGUAAGUACCUAUGCACGUCUUGACGGUACCUAAUCAGAAAGCCACGGCUAACUACGUG
rnacentral:rRNA from 1 species